GGUGCAUUUUCAAAACAGCAUAGGACCCCUGCAAAGAAAUCGGAAUGCACAGACAAGCAAAGCCGCAUUAACAUUUGCAGCCUCUUACCCUGGCCGAUGGUUACUGUUAUCAGAUCACAUCCUUCCAGAUCUUCUCCUGUGUACACAACAUUACGAAACCGAAAGAAAAGGAUGCUACUGUGCCUGCCCUUUUGAGAGCAGCUAUUUUCUGUGAAAGGAAUAUAUAUGCUGUGAGCAUUCAUUCACGCCGAUAACUUUUCCACCGCAGCGAAGGAACUUCAGAACAGUGUACUCAUCACAGAACCUCAGGGAACAUAGUUCUGUGGUCCGAAUGCCCCUAUCUGGAUUCUAACAUUCCAAAUUUAUCUCACAUUUAUUCCAUCAUCAUUAUUUGUAGAAAAUCUUCCUGCGUUGUGUAAAGUUUUUGUUGUUUU